UAGGGAAUCUUCGGCAAUGGACGCAAGUCUGACGGAGCAACGCCGCGUGAGUGAAGAAGGAUUUCGGUUCGUAAAACUCUGUUGUUAGAGAAGAACAGCGCAUAGAGUAACUGUUAUGCGUGUGACGGUAUCUAACCAGAAAGCCACGGCUAACUACGUGCCAGCAGCCGCGGUAAUACGUAGGUGGCAAGCGUUGUCCGGAUUUAUUGGGCGUAAAGCGAGCGCAGGCGGUCAAUUAAGUCUGAUGUGAAAGCCCCCGGCUCAACCGGGGAGGGUCAUUGGAAACUGGUUGACUUGAGUGCAGAAGAGGAGAGUGGAAUUCCAUGUGUAGCGGUGAAAUGCGUAGAUAUAUGGAGGAACACCAGUGGCGAAGGCGACUUUCUGGUCUGUAACUGACGCUGAUGUGCGAAAGCGUGGGGAUCAAACAGG
rnacentral:rRNA from 1 species